rnacentral:rRNA from 1 species
GACGAACGCUGGCGGCGUGCUUAACACAUGCAAGUCGUACGGUAAGGCCCUUUCGGGGGUACACGAGUGGCGAACGGGUGAGUAACACGUGAGUAACCUGCCCACAACUUUGGGAUAACGCUAGGAAACUGGUGCUAAUACUGGAUAUGUGCUCCUGCUGCAUGGUGGGGGUUGGAAAGCUCCGGCGGUUGUGGAUGGACUCGCGGCCUAUCAGCUUGUUGGUGGGGUAGUGGACUACCAAGGCGGCGACGGGUAGCCGGCCUGAGAGGGUGACCGGCCACAGUGGGACUGAGAUACGGCCCAGACUCCUACGGGAGGCAGCAGGGGGGAAUAUUGCACAAUGGGCGCAAGCCUGAUGCAGCAACGCCGCGGGCGGGAUGACGGCCUUCGGGUUGUAAACCGCUUUCAGCAGGGACGAAGCUUUUUGUGACGGUACCUGCAGAAGAAGCACCGGCUAACUACGUG